rnacentral:rRNA from 1 species
UACGGGGGGGGCAAGCGUUGUUCGGAAUUACUGGGCGUAAAGGGCGCGUAGGCGGCCUUCUAAGUCGGACGUGAAAUCCCUCGGCUUAACCGAGGAACUGCGUCCGAGACUGAAAGGCUUGAAUCCGGGAGAGGGAUGUGGAAUUCCAGGUGUAGCGGUGAAAUGCGUAGAUAUCUGGAGGAACACCGGUGGCGAAGGCGGCAUCCUGGACCGGCAUUGACGCUGAGGCGCGAAAGCGUGGGGAGCAAACAGG